GACGAACGCUGGCGGCGUGCUUAACACAUGCAAGUCGAACGGAAAGGCCUGCUUUCCCUUGUGGAUUGCGGGUACUCGAGUGGCGAACGGGUGAGUAACACGUGAGUGAUCUGCCCCCAACUUGGGUAUAAGCCUGGGAAACUGGGUCUAAUUCCCGAUAGGACUGCAGGGUGGUGCCUGUGGUGGAAAACGAUUUUCUAGUGGUUGGGGAUGAGCUCGCGGCCUAUCAGCUUGUUGGUGGGUAAUGGCCUACCAAGGCGGCGACGGGUAGCCGGCCUGAGAGGGUGGACGGCCACAUUGGGACUGAGAUACGGCCCAGACUCCUACGGGAGGCAGCAGUGGGGAAUAUUGCACAAUGGGCGGAAGCCUGAUGCAGCGACGCCGCGGGGGGGAUGACGGCCUUCGGGUUGUAAACUCCUUUCGACCGCGAGGAAGCCACCUGGUUGGAAGGGUGGUGACGGUAGUGGGAGAAGAAGCACCGGCUAACUACGUG
rnacentral:rRNA from 1 species